AUCAAGAAACUUCUCAUAGAGUUCUUAAUACGUAAUAGUGGAGUCACAACACGAAUUCCAACAUGAAUCUCACAAAAUUCUGGUCCUAGACCAUUCAAGAUCUUAACAAUGAGUUCCGAGUUUGUGACUGGGGAACUAGUAGUGGAGUUCGUCAGCCAUGGAUCGAAUAUUUUGAAAAUACUCAUUGAUUGGUGGGAGUCUUU
rnacentral:lncRNA from 1 species